AUCUCUGUAGAGUCUGCAUAUCAAUAAGCGGAGGAAAAGAAACUAACAAGGAUUCCCUUAGUAACGGCGAGUGAAGCGGGAAGAGCUCAAAUUUGAAAUCUUCAAGGUUCUACCUUGACGAAUUGUAGUUUAAAGAAGUGUUUUCUGUUAGAUGAGUAGCAAAAGUUCCUUGGAAUGGGACAUCAUAGAGGGUGAGAAUCCCGUAUUUGGUUAUUCAUUCUAGCUUUGUGAUACACUUUCAAAGAGUCGGAUUGUUUGGGAAUGCAGUCCAAAAUGGGUGGUAAAUUUCAUCUAAAGCUAAAUAUUGGCGAGAGACCGAUAGCGAACAAGUACCGUGAGGGAAAGAUGAAAAGAACUUUGAAAAGAGAGUUAAACAGUACGUGAAAUUGUCAAAAGGGAAGCGUUUGACACCAGUGUUGUUUUUCCGAAAAUCAAUUACGAAUGGCUUGAUUUUGUGUUGUAUUGACCUUAUCAGCUUUCUGCACUUUUUUCGAGUCUUUCUUAAUGCACUUUUUGGUUAACAAGUCAACAUCAAUUUCUUUUGUUGUAAAAGAGUAUUCGGAAGGUGGCUUUCUUUUCGGAGAAAGUGUUUAUAGCCCUAUACUUCUACAAUCGGAGAGAUUGAGGUCUGCAGCGUAGAUCCUUCGGGGUUAGAUACACUUGUGCUAAGUUGUAGCUUUUCAUAGACAACUUGUUGACUAUGUUUAGUCAUGCGGCUUACUCGCUUGUGCUAUUUUACCUACGCUUAGGAUGUUGACUGAUAUGUAGUCGUA
rnacentral:rRNA from 1 species